GUUGGGUAGGGGAGCGUUCUGUAAGCCUGUGAAGGUGGCCUGUGAGGGUUGCUGGAGGUAUCAGAAGUGCGAAUGCUGACAUAAGUAACGAUAAAGCGGGUGAAAAGCCCGCUCGCCGGAAGACCAAGGGUUCCUGUCCAACGUUAAUCGGGGCAGGGUGAGUCGACCCCUAAGGCGAGGCCGAAAGGCGUAGUCGAUGGGAAACGGGUUAAUAUUCCCGUACUUGGUGUUACUGCGAAGGGGGGACGGAGAAGGCUAUGUUGGCCGGGCGACGGUUGUCCCGGUUUAAGCGUGUAGGUGUGUGUUCCAGGUAAAUCCGGUUCACUUUAACACUGAGGCGUGACGACGAGGCACUACGGUGCUGAAGCAACAAAUGCCCUGCUUCCAGGAAAAGCCUCUAAGCAUCAGGUAACAUCAAAUCGUACCCCAAACCGACACAGGUGGUCAGGUAGAGAAUACCAAGGCGCUUGAGAGAACUCGGGUGAAGGAACUAGGCAAAAUGGUGCCGUAACUUCGGGAGAAGGCACGCUGACAUGUAGGUGAAGUGAUUUACUCAUGGAGCUGAAGUCAGUCGAAGAUACCAGCUGGCUGCAACUGUUUAUUAAAAACACAGCACUGUGCAAACACGAAAGUGGACGUAUACGGUGUGACGCCUGCCCGGUGCCGGAAGGUUAAUUGAUGGGGUCAGCGCAAGCGAAGCUCCUGAUCGAAGCCCCGGUAAACGGCGGCCGUAACUAUAACGGUCCUAAGGUAGCGAAAUUCCUUGUCGGGUAAGUUCCGACCUGCACGAAUGGCGUAAUGAUGGCCAGGCUGUCUCCACCCGAGACUCAGUGAAAUUGAACUCGCUGUGAAGAUGCAGUGUACCCGCGGCAAGACGGAAAGACCCCGUGAACCUUUACUAUAGCUUGACACUGAACAUUGAGCCUUGAUGUGUAGGAUAGGUGGGAGGCUUUGAAGUGUGGACGCCAGUCUGCAUGGAGCCGACCUUGAAAUACCACCCUUUAAUGUUUGAUGUUCUAACGUGGACCCGUUAUCCGGGUUGCGGACAGUGUCUGGUGGGUAGUUUGACUGGGGCGGUCUCCUCCUAAAGAGUAACGGAGGAGCACGAAGGUUGGCUAAUCCUGGUCGGACAUCAGGAGGUUAGUGCAAUGGCAUAAGCCAGCUUGACUGCGAGCGUGACGGCGCGAGCAGGUGCGAAAGCAGGUCAUAGUGAUCCGGUGGUUCUGAAUGGAAGGGCCAUCGCUCAACGGAUAAAAGGUACUCCGGGGAUAACAGGCUGAUACCGCCCAAGAGUUCAUAUCGACGGCGGUGUUUGGCACCUCGAUGUCGGCUCAUCACAUCCUGGGGCUGAAGUAGGUCCCAAGGGUAUGGCUGUUCGCCAUUUAAAGUGGUACGCGAGCUGGGUUUAGAACGUCGUGAGACAGUUCGGUCCCUAUCUGCCGUGGGCGCUGGAGAACUGAGGGGGGCUGCUCCUAGUACGAGAGGACCGGAGUGGACGCAUCACUGGUGUUCGGGUUGUCAUGCCAAUGGCACUGCCCGGUAGCUAAAUGCGGAAGAGAUAAGUGCUGAAAGCAUCUAAGCACGAAACUUGCCCCGAGAUGAGUUCUCCCUGAGACUU
rnacentral:rRNA from 3 species